GUGGGUAACCUACCCUGUACACACGGAUAACAUACCGAAAGGUAUGCUAAUACGGGAUAAUAUAUUUGAGAGGCAUCUCUUAAAUAUCAAAGGUGAGCCAGUACAGGAUGGACCCGCGUCUGAUUAGCUAGUUGGUAAGGUAACGGCUUACCAAGGCGACGAUCAGUAGCCGACCUGAGAGGGUGAUCGGCCACAUUGGAACUGAGACA
rnacentral:rRNA from 1 species